rnacentral:rRNA from 1 species
UACGUAGGGUGCGAGCGUUGUCCGGAAUUACUGGGCGUAAAGAGCUCGUAGGUGGUUUGUCACGUCGUCUGUGAAAUUCCGGGGCUUAACCUCGGGCGUGCAGGCGAUACGGGCAAUACUUGAGUGCUGUAGGGGAGACUGGAAUUCCUGGUGUAGCGGUGAAAUGCGUAGAUAUCGGGAGGAACACCAGUGGCGAAGGCGACUUCCUGGCACAAUACUGACGCUCAUGUGCGAAAGCUAGGGUAGCGAACGGGAUUAGAUACCCCGGUAGU